CCAUCUUCUUCCUUCUCUCCUCAGCCUUCAGCAGCUUCCUCUUCUCCCUCUCUCUCUCUGCCCGGGUCAUGGUGGAUGUUAGCCUUGUGUGUCCAGGGAUGGCUGGGAGGGGAGAAGAAGUAGAGUUUACAUUCAACUUAGUGGAUCUGGUAUCAACUUAAAUGUAAUGGACACAGGGAAUGAAGAAUAGAAAACCCAGUUGGAUCCAAUGAUUCUUUACUCUUUUCAGUUGAGCAAGGCAUGGAAUUUGUCAAUAAAGUGCAAUAAUUCCCAUCCCGAAUUGAACAUGAGUCCAGAAUGGCACCUAUUCUUUGUAUAGUGCCAGGGCAUAUGUGAUCGCUUAGCGCCCCAUGGCCACUAGUAGCCCCCGGAUCCCCCCAAAACACGUUUUUGUGUGUGUGUUUUUAGGAACUCUUUCUGGGUCUCUACUUAGUCUUGAGAGUUAGACUAGUAGAUGACACAAGGUACCAUUUAAAAACGUGGUUGUUAUCAGCAGUAUUUUUCUUGUUAUGUCAGUCAGUCACUCAAUGAGCCAUGUCAGCUAACAUAUUCUUUGGACAGUAGUUUUAUAUUGAAACAAUGAUGCAACAUGAUGACUGGUGUGGAACAAAUGUGUGUAGAGGAGACUAAAGAGGAUGAUGUCAUAAGUAGAGGGAAAACAGGUCUUACCUAUGUGGACGAUCUUAUGGCCCUCCUCAGCCUCUCUCUGAUACGUUCUCUCUAUCUUUCUGAUGUUCCUCUUCUCCCACUUCUUGUUCACCCAGCCCACAGCUCUCCUUCGGAUACUUUUAUCGGGAGGGGGUAAGAAGACAGUCCCAGUAGGAGACGGAGAUCGUCCAGAAGAAGAAGAGGUGUCCAUCUCCUCAGAGACUGCAGGAAAGGUCUACAAGUUUUAUUUCUGGAAAAUAAAGAGAUGCCUUCGUUCAGCAACAAUGUGUUUCUAUGUUUCUGUCACUAGAUGGUGCCAUUGUACACAACAUUUACUCACCAGGUCAGUGAAUUCAGAAACAGUCUUCAGAGUUGAGUCCUCAAGCUCUAGCCUACAACCCAUCAUGCAUCAGCACAACUAAUAUAAUAAUAUCUCAUCACAGUACACCUGGAUUGUGUUCACAAAGUGUUUCAGGGUAGGAGUGCUGAUCUAGGAUCAGGUCGCCUCCUGUCCAUCAAAAUGUAUUCAGUUUAAUUUAAAAGACCAAACUGAUUAUUGAUCAGCACUCCUUCUAUGAGACUUUGUGAAUAUGAGCCUAUGUGAAAGAACCUUUCUGGCAUAUGCUGGCUAGACAGUACACAGACAAUUCAGAUAGUCCGACAGACAGACAGAAGAGUAGAUACAGAUGGAGUGAUUGAUAGCAACAGAAAUAACGAAGCGGAUGGUUAAUGUAUUGUAAACUUUUGUAAAUAUUUGACUCACCUCAAAUCACACGUGUCAAACCUCAGUUUUAGUGUUGAACCGAAUAAUAUCCUCGGCAUUAACUUUCUCUGGUCUGGAGCUGUAUUGUUGCGUCAUUUGGAACGCUUGAGCGUCAUAAUCCGUUCACCGCGCCUGCUUGAUUGACAGCUAGGGGUUCUCCUGCGCAUCAGUGUCCAAA
rnacentral:lncRNA from 13 species